rnacentral:rRNA from 1 species
AGUGAACGCUGGCGGUAUGCCUAACACAUGCAAGUCGAACGGCAGCACAGUAAGAGCUUGCUCUUACGGGUGGCGAGUGGCGGACGGGUGAGGAAUACAUCGGAAUCUACUUUUUCGUGGGGGAUAACGUAGGGAAACUUACGCUAAUACCGCAUACGACCUACGGGUGAAAUCAGGGGAUCUUCGGACCUUGCGCGAUUGAAUUAGCCGAUGUCGGAUUAGCUAGUUGGCGGGGUAAAGGCCCACCAAGGCGACGAUCCGUAGCUGGUCUGAGAGGAUGAUCAGCCACACUGGAACUGAGACACGGUCCAGACUCCUACGGGAGGCAGCAGUGGGGAAUAUUGGACAAUGGGCGCAAGCCUGAUCCAGCCAUACCGCGUGGGUGAAGAAGGCCUUCGGGUUGUAAAGCCCUUUUGUUGGGAAAGAAAAGCAGCAGGUUAAUACCCCGCUGUUCUGACGGUACCCAAAGAAUAAGCACCGGCUAACUUCGUG